rnacentral:ribozyme from 12 species
AAAAAAAAAAAAAAAAAAAAAAGUGUAAGAAGAAGCGUUAUGUCCAUCGUCCUUGUCUACCACUCUCCUUGUUUUUUGCGCUUUUCCCUCAUUCGUUUUUUCUCUUUUUUUCUUUUUCUUUU